rnacentral:tRNA from 1 species
GCCUCGGUAGCUCAGUCUGGUUAGAGCGAAUGAUUCGUAAUCAUUAGGUCGGGAGUUCGAUCCUCUCCCGAGGCU